rfam:Triticum aestivum genome assembly, contig: Triticum_aestivum_CS42_TGACv1_scaffold_500960_6BL
UAGGUACUCCCUUCGUCAGGAAAUAUUUGUUCUAAAAAUGGAUAAAUUGGAUGUAUAUAUAACUAAAAUAAGUCUAGAUAUAUCCAUUUCUAGGACAAGUAUUUCCGGACGGAGGGAGUAUUAA